GUAGGUGAACCUGCGGAAGGAUCAUUGCAAAAAAGGGGGUUGUGUUAGUUGAGAUGACAUCAAGACUAGUUGCCCUGAAAGCACAGGAAAUCCGAUUUGGAUUUCUCUGAUGUUUGCGCUUGUAUUGUUUGACAUUUAUAUCAGUUAAUUAUUAAUAAAACUUUCAACAAUGGAACUCUUGGCUCUU
rnacentral:misc_RNA from 1 species